rnacentral:rRNA from 1 species
UACGGAGGGUGCAAGCGUUAUCCGGAUUUACUGGGUUUAAAGGGUGCGCAGGCGGAUAUGUAAGUCAGUGGUGAAAUCUCUAGGCUUAACCUGGAAAUUGCCGUUGAUACUAUAUAUCUUGAAUGUUGUGGAGGUAAGCAGAAUAUGUCAUGUAGCGGUGAAUGCUUAGAUAUGACAUAGAAUACCUAUUGCGAAGGCAGCUUACUACGCAGAUAUUGACGCUCAUGCACGAAAGCGUGGGGAUCAAACAGG